CAAAAAAUGUGUUCAUCCAAUUCACACACAACACAAGAAUGGAUUCUCUCAGAACAACCCUUUUCAUUGGAGUUUUUUGCACAACAUUGCUCAUGUCUUCCCAUGAAAAGAGUUUAGGUAAAUUUAUAUUCCAUUUCCCUUGUUUCAUUUCCCAUUUCCCCAAGUAUAGCAAUUUUAUUUUUAAUUUUUCUGAAUUUUCAGUAGCAGGCUUCGAAGGCUUCGAUGGAGUUAAUGACUAUGUUGUUAUAGGACGUUGUAGGUCGGAUGAAGAGUGCAUCAAGUUUUGCAAAACAGAUGGUUAUAGUGGGGGCAGGUGUACAAUUCCAGAUACGCCCUUUGGACCUCAACUUUGUCUAUGCAAGACUGGAGCUAGAAUUGCAUUUCAGAGUUUUGAUUAAUAAGGAAUUUUGGGAUGUCAAAUAUUUUAUGAAAUAAUAAAAUAAGAAAAAAUAAAAAAAUAAAAUCCUUAGUUUAUCAAUGUCUUCCUAGGCACUCUUAAUUGAUUGAUGGAUGAUUGUGUGUUUAAUAGAUAUGUGAAAG
rnacentral:lncRNA from 1 species